AGUGGACGCGAGCAUCUUUGUGGCCAAGUUUUUUAGGGCACACGGUGGAUGCCUUGGCAUCAGGAGCCGAUGAAGGACGUGGGAGGCUGCGUUAAGCCUCGGGGAGUCGCCAACCAGACGUUGAUCCGGGGAUGUCCGAAUGGGGAAACCUAGCACCAGUCAUGUGGUGUUGCCUCCGCCUGAAUGUAUAGGGCGGUUGGUGGUAACGCGGGGAAGUGAAACAUCUCAGUACCCGUAGGAAGAGAAAACAAGAGUGAUUCCGUGAGUAGUGGUGAGCGAAAGCGGAUGAGGCUAAACCGGGCGUGUGUGAUAGCCGGCAGGCGUUGCAUGUCCGGGGUCGUGGGACCUUCUUGAAGGGGCUGCCGCUUCUUCGAGCAGUGAUAAAUCGAUGGGGUAGUUGAAAGCUCUGGGAAGGGCUGCCGUAGACCGUGAGAGCCGGGUAGGCGAAACCUUGUCGACUGCUGGAGGGGAUCCCAAGUAGCACGGGGCUCGAGGAAUCCUGUGUGAAUCUGCCAGGACCACCUGGUAAGCCUAAAUACUCCCUGAUGACCGAUAGUGCACGAGUACCGUGAGGGAAAGGUGAAAAGUGCCCCGGUGAGGGGUCGUGAAAUAGUACCUGAAACCGUGUGCCUACAAGCCGUAGGAGCUUACAACAGCUUGCUGUUGUGUGAUGUGACUGCGUGCCUUUUGAAGAAUGAGCCUGCGAGUUAUGGUGUGUGGCGAGGUUAACCCGUGUGGGGGAGCCGUAGCGAAAGCGAGUCUGAAUAGGGCGUUUGAGUCGCAUGCUGUAGACCCGAAGCGGAGUGAUCUACGCAUGGGCAGGUUGAAGCUCAGGUAAGACUGGGUGGAGGACCGAACCCACCAGGGUUGAAAACCUGGGGGAUGACCUGUGUGUAGGGGUGAAAGGCCAAUCAAACUCCGUGAUAGCUGGUUCUCCCCGAAAUGCAUUUAGGUGCAGCGUUGCGUGUUUCUUGCCGGAGGUAGAGCACUGGAUGGCUAAUGGGCCCGACAAGGUUACUGACGUCAGCCAAACUCCGAAUGCCGGUAAGUGAGAGCGUGGCAGUGAGACUGCGGGCGAUAAGGUUCGUAGUCGAGAGGGAAACAGCCCAGAUCACCGACUAAGGCCCCUAAGCGUGUGCUAAGUGGGAAAGGAUGUGGAGUCGCAGAGACAACCAGGAGGUUGGCUUAGAAGCAGCCACCCUUGAAAGAGUGCGUAAUAGCUCACUGGUCAAGUGAUUCCGCGCCGACAAUGUAGCGGGGCUCAAGUACACCGCCGAAGUCGUGGCACUGAUGAGAUUUUGUUCUUGUUGGUGGGUAGGGGAGCGUCGUGCAGCCGGCGAAGCAGCAGAGUGAUCUAGUUGUGGAGGCUGUGCGAGUGAGAAUGCAGGCAUGAGUAGCGAAUCGAGGGUGAGAAACCCUCGCGCCGGAUGACCAAGGGUUCCUGGGGCAGGCUAAUCCGCCCAGGGUAAGUCGGGACCUAAGGCGAGGCCGACAGGCGUAGUCGAUGGACAACGGGUUGAUAUUCCCGUACCCGCUUCAAUGCGCCCAUACUGAACCUCGUGAUGCUAAGAGUCCUUAGCUCGCCUAAAGCCUUCGGGCUUGGGGUCAGAGUGAACGCUCGAUCCGAUCGGGUAGUAGGUAAGCGAUGGGGUGACGCAGGAAGGUAGUCCAGCCCAGGCGAUGGUUGUCCUGGGGUAAGCAUGUAGGGAGCGAGGUAGGCAAAUCCGCCUCGUACUGUAUCCUGAGAUGUGAUGCCGAGCCGAUUGUGGUGAAGUGGAUGAUCCUAUGCUGCCGAGAAAAGCCUCUAGUGAGUGUUGUGGCGGCCCGUACCCUAAACCGACUCAGGUGGUCAGGUAGAGAAUACUAAGGCGAUCGGGUGAACUGUGGUUAAGGAACUCGGCAAAUUGCCCCCGUAACUUCGGGAGAAGGGGGGCCUCUGUUGGUGAUGAGUCUUGCGCUCUGAGCUGGUGGGGGCCGCAGUGGCCAGGGGGAAGCGACUGUUUACUAAAAACACAGGUCUGUGCGAAGUCGUAAGACGAUGUAUACGGACUGACGCCUGCCCGGUGCCGGAACGUUAAGGGGACCGCUUAGUGCAUUUCGGUGUGCGAAGGUGAGAACUUAAGCGCCGGUAAACGGCGGUGGUAACUAUAACCAUCCUAAGGUAGCGAAAUUCCUUGUCGGGUAAGUUCCGACCUGCACGAAUGGCGUAACGACUUCCCCGCUGUCUCAACCGCAGACCCGGCGAAAUUGCAUUACGAGUAAAGAUGCUCGUUACGCGCAGCAGGACGGAAAGACCCCGGGACCUUCACUACAGCUUGACAUUGGCGUUUGGAGCGUCUUGUGUAGGAUAGGUGGGAGACUGGGAAGCUCGGACGCUAGUUCGGGUGGAGUCAUUGGUGAAAUACCACUCUGGUCGUUUUGAACGUCUAACUCUGGUCCGUGAUCCGGAUCGGGGACAGUGUCUGGUGGGUAGUUUAACUGGGGCGGUUGCCUCCUAAAGGGUAACGGAGGCGCCCAAAGGUUCCCUCAGCCUGGUUGGUAAUCAGGUGUUGAGUGUAAGUGCACAAGGGAGCUUGACUGUGAGACUGACGGGUCGAGCAGGAGCGAAAGCUGGGACUAGUGAUCCGGCAUCGGCGUGUGGAAGCGGUGUCGCUCAACGGCUAAAAGGUACCCCGGGGAUAACAGGCUGAUCUUCCCCAAGAGUCCAUAUCGACGGGAUGGUUUGGCACCUCGAUGUCGGCUCGUCGCAUCCUGGGGCUGGAGUAGGUCCCAAGGGUUGGGCUGUUCGCCCAUUAAAGCGGUACGCGAGCUGGGUUUAGAACGUCGCGAGACAGUUCGGUCCCUAUCCGCUGCGCGCGCAGGAGACUUGAAAGGGGCUGUCCCUAGUACGAGAGGACCGGGACGGACGAACCUCUGGUGUGCCAGUUGUAUCGCCAGGUGCAUGGCUGGUUGGCUACGUUCGGAAGGGAUAACCGCUGAAAGCAUCUAAGCGGGAAGCUUGCCUUGAGAUGAGGUCUCCCACCCUGUGAGGGGGUAAGGCUCCCGGUGGAUGACCGGGUUGAUAGGCCGGAGGUGGAAGCGCGGUAACGUGUGGAGCUGACCGGUACUAAUAGGCCGAGGACUUGACCACAA
rnacentral:rRNA from 1 species